rnacentral:rRNA from 1 species
UACGUAGGGUGCAAGCGUUGUCCGGAAUUAUUGGGCGUAAAGAGCUCGUAGGCGGUUUGUCGCGUCUGCUGUGAAAACUCGGGGCUUAACUCCGGGCCUGCAGUGGGUACGGGCAGACUAGAGUGCGGUAGGGGAGACUGGAAUUCCUGGUGUAGCGGUGAAAUGCGCAGAUAUCAGGAGGAACACCGGUGGCGAAGGCGGUUCUCUGGGCAUGUCCUGACGCUGAGGAGCGAAAGCGUGGGGAGCGAACAGG